rnacentral:rRNA from 1 species
GAUGAACGCUAGCGGCAGGCUUAACACAUGCAAGUCGAGGGGUAUAUGUCUUCGGGCAUAGAGACCGGCGCACGGGUGCGUAACGCGUAUGCAACCUACCUUGAACAGGGGAAUAGCCCAGAGAAAUUUGGAUUAAUGCCCCAUGGUAUCUUUAAGUGGCAUCACUUGAUUAUUAAAGUAACAACGGUUCAAGAUGGGCAUGCGUCCCAUUAGUUAGUUGGUAAGGUAACGGCUUACCAAGACGAUGAUGGGCAGGGGUCCUGAGAGGGAGAUCCCCCACACUGGUACGGAGACACGGACCAGACUCCUACGGGAGGCAGCAGUGAGGAAUAUUGGUCAAUGGGCGCAAGCCUGAACCAGCCAUGCCGCGUGCAGGAUUAAGGCCCUAUGGGUUGUAAACUGCUUUUGUACGGGAAGAAACACCGGUUCGUGAACCGGCUUGACGGUACCGUAAGAAUAAGGAUCGGCUAACUCCGUGCCAGCCGCCGCGGUAAGAC